rnacentral:rRNA from 1 species
AUGAAGCGCAAGGCGGGGCUGAAGAGUUGUCGGAUGUACCACGGCGGCGUUCGGGUCGGCAACGACGUCCCCCGCGGCAAGGAAGGGAGAGGGGACUGCUUUGCCGGAGCUGGCGGCGCAGAGGUGCGAUUUUCAAAAGUUUGUCAGACAUCCGAAAUCGCAAAGCUUUUGCUGCUUCCGGUCUCUGUCCCCUGCAGCGCAGUGUACACACCUUGCUCUGCUCUUCCAAGCCCACGCCCACGCGGCCACGCCCACUCAGGCCUCAGUUUGCUUGUCCACCUCCUCCGGUCCUCAUGCCUCUUCAGUCUUCAGCCACCCCUUCCUCUGCAGCUGCCUCGCCGCCGUCCACUUCCGCCUUGCCGCCACCCCUUCCGUCGUCGCCCUGCUACUGCUAACCCACGCGCCCGGCGCCGCAGCAGCCAGCCGCUUCUCUCGCGCAGCAUCGUCCUCGCUGACAGGAUGGAUGAGGUAGGCGUCAGGCCUAGCUGCUCCCCUUCUCCAUCAUAUCAUCGGCCAUGGGCUCUGCUCCCCAUGAGGAUCCAGGUUCAUGCAGCUUCUGUCUGUCACGGCUCUUCCCAACAGAAUGCUGUAGUCGGCGACAGACCGUGGAUACUGUACAACAGCAAUGCAGUGUUUGAGUGUUUCGGGUUGAUUAGAAGCCAUGGAUCUUUGGUUGACGGAUGCAGCGUGUCAACGGUGCUUACCAUGUGCACAGAUGUCACGGAUUUAACUAAGGGUGUGCUGAGAAAGAGUUCGUGUUUUGGUCUGAUGGAGCAGGGUACCCAAAUCCAUGCGCUGGUAUAUAAACGUGGGUUUGAGGAUUAUAUAAUUGUUGCCACUGCUCUCACUGACAUGUAUUGGAUUAUUAAGCGCAAGAAGAACAAGCAUGAAUGGGAUGAGCAACUUCUUCGUGGGAGCGGACUUAUGGCUAUGAUCCCUUGUGUUGAUCCUUUUGCUCAAAGGAGGGAGGAGAAGAAGAACAGGGUUGAUUAUCAAGAAAAGAACAUACUGUAG